AACGAACGCUGGCGGCAGGCCUAACACAUGCAAGUCGAACGAACCUUACGGGGUUCGUCGCGGACGGGUGUGACACACGUGGGAAUGUGCCUUGAUGCUCGGCAUCACUCAGGGACACUUGCGCUAAUACCGAAAGUGCUCUCCGGGGGAAAGAUUUCUCGCCAUUAGAGCGGCCCGCGUCUGUUUAGCUAGUUGGUUGAGGCAACGGAUCACCAAGGCGACGAUCAGUAGCUGGUCUGGGAGGAUGAUCCGCCACAUUUGGACUGGGGCACGGCCCAAACUCCUACGGGAGGCAGCAGGGGGGGAUCUUGCGCAAUGGGCGAAAGGCUGACGCAGCCAUGCCGGGGGAAUGGUGGAGGGCUUAGGAUUUGAAAAGUCUUUCUCCGGGGAAGAUAAUGACGGUACCCGGAGAAAAAGGCCCGGCUAACUUCGUG
rnacentral:rRNA from 1 species